AGCAGCCGCGGUAAUUCCAGCUCCAAUAGCGUAUAUUAAAGUUGUUGCAGUUAAAAAGCUCGUAGUUGAAUUUCGGGGUUAGUAGGUUGGUCGUGCCACUGGUACGUACUGGUCUCACUGACUCCUCCUUCCUGAUGAACUGUAAUGCCAUUAAUUUGGUGUUGCGGGGAAACUGGACUGUUACUUUGAAAAAAUUUGAGUGUUUAAAGCAAGCUAACGCUUGAAUACAUUAGCAUGGAAUAAUGAAAUAGGACGUUCGAUCCUAUUUUGUUGGUUUCUAGGAUUGACGUAAUGAUUAACAGGGAUAGUUGGGGGCAUUAGUAUUCAAUUGUCAGAGGUGAAAUUCUUGGAUUUAUUGAAGACUAACUACUGCGAAAAGCAUUUGCCAAGGAUGUUUUCAUUAAUCAAGAACGAAAGUUAGGGGAUCGAAGGCGAUCAGAUACCGUCGUAGUCUUAACCAUAAACUAUGCCGAUAGGGAUCGGAUGAUGUUAAUUUUUAUGUACUCAUUCGGCGCCUUAC
rnacentral:rRNA from 1 species